rnacentral:rRNA from 1 species
GUGCCAGCAGCCGCGGUAAGACGUAGGACGCGAGCGUUAUCCGGAUUUACUGGGCGUAAAGCGUCUGUAGGCGGAGUGGGAAGCUGGGCGUGAAAGCUCCGGGCUUAACCCGGAGAGGACGUACAAUACUCCCAAACUAGAGGGCAUCAGAGGGGCGUGGAAUUUCCGGUGUAGCGGUAAAAUGCGCAGAUAUCGGAAGGAACACCAGUGGCGAAGGCGGCGCUCUGGGGUGUACCUGACGCUAAGAGACGAGAGCUAGGGGAGCGAACAGGAUUAGAGACCCUGGUAGUCCUAGCCGUAAACGAUGGAUGCUAGGUGUAUGGUCGGAAGGCUGUGUGCCGAAGCGAACGCGAUAAGCAUCCCGCCUGGGGAGUACGGCCGCAAGGCUAAAACUUAAAGGAAUUGACGG